rnacentral:rRNA from 1 species
UACGUAGGGUGCGAGCGUUGUCCGGAAUUAUUGGGCGUAAAGAGCUCGUAGGCGGUUUGUCGCGUCUGCCGUGAAAGUCCGGGGCUCAACUCCGGAUCUGCGGUGGGUACGGGCAGACUAGAGUGAUGUAGGGGAGACUGGAAUUCCUGGUGUAGCGGUGAAAUGCGCAGAUAUCAGGAGGAACACCGAUGGCGAAGGCAGGUCUCUGGGCAUUAACUGACGCUGAGGUGCGAAAGCGUGGGGAGCAAACAGG